GGCAGUGACGCCCGAGGCAGGACAUGCCCUCUCUGCCCUCCUGGAAGUACCCUGCCGCGGGAAGCAGCAGUCACCUUCUGGAACCCCAUACGCACGAUGCCCCGGAUUUAGUCUGGUUUCUGUUGUAGCCAGAAGUAUUAGCUGGUCUUUCUGUUUCAGAAGCUCUUAAAAAAAAAAAAAAGGAAACACAUAACACUUUUUUAUUAAAAAAACAAAAGGGCCACAACAACAUGCAAAGUAGGCCCUGGGCGCCCCUCUGCCCGCACCUUCAGCGUGUUGUCACAGAAAAGCAGAAUCAGCAUCUCGCACGGAAUCAAGGCAGGAGCACAAGGUGUUUCACUAGACAUUAAGGAACGUGUCUCCCCGUGGUGGUACGUGCACGGGGACGUUAUGGGAAGGAGCACAGAGUACGGGGAGAAAUGAAGCCCUCUUCCCUCCUCCUAGCCAGCCAGUCCCCUCCCUGCGGCCGCUUCUGUCCCUGAUUUCCGGAACAUUCUUCCAGAGGUGGAGUGAGGUCUUCUCACCGUUCUCAGGUGAUAUUUAUUCAUGGCCACGCUUGAUUCCUUCUAGGCUCAUUUCUGUAAACCCUUCCAGGGUUGUUAAAAGAGUGUCUGAGAGGCGGCGUGGCCCUGGGCUUCCAUCUGACUGCCUAACUGCCUUCACUAAUCACGCUGAGAUCAAGCGGAUAAAAAGACCCUCCAAGGUCGGAGGUGUUGGCUAGUACUUCUCAUUUUGGAAUAUUCUGGUCAGCAAUCCAUAAAACCUGGCUUGAGACUCUCCUCCUGCAGGAAGGCCUCCUGGAUUCCUGCCCUAACCUUCAGCUGAGCUCAUGUCGCCCGUCAAAUAGGCGCCUUCUCCAGUAACCUCAGGAUCCAGACGAGUGGUGUCACCAUCUCCCAGCCUCCCAGGCUAGAAGCCCCCCAGUCCUGGAAAGCAUCCUAGCCCCUGGGCAUGCUGACAUUUACUGCUAUAACAGGAUUUCACACUCUCGAAAUCUGCACGGCAGCAUCUGUGCCUGGAAGUUUCAGAGAAAUUAAGGGAGGCUGUGAGCUCAGGGUCUGACCUUUGGGCAGAGGAUGGGGCGGGGAGCACUGGUCUUCAAAGCUGGCUUUGAUCUCCCAGGACUAGGUGUCCUGGGAUGCAAGCCAGCUGUGCCACUGGUGGCCUGGGAACCCCUGGACAGGGCACCUGACUCAGCCACUGUGACCCCUCCAUCCCCGCCCCUGCCCAGUUUCCGCUAAAAGCACCAGCCCCCUUACCUUAGGUCAUGAGCAGGUAAUGGUGGGGAGGGGCUUGGCAAAAUACACAAGCCCUAUAGACUCUUAGGGUCCCCUCCAGAUUCAAGGUUGGUAGCUGUGAGUGAAAUACAUGCAAAUUAGGAAAGGAAACCAGACUGAAUUCAGUCAUUCUGCUUCACCCCUGCUGGGGCUGUCCCGAGACCCGUCCAGCCACCCACACCCUCACGUGGGAGAACGGGCUCUGGGCCCAGGCGUGUGCUGACAGGCCUGUGAGCCCGGCGUGGGCGGCCCCUGGUUCUCCACAGCCCCUGCAGACGGACAGCAGCCGGCCAACUGGACGACCAAGGAGCAGAGCAGUGGGCGUGAGGGCGGUGAGGGCGGCGGGCAUCCUCUGGGCCCUCGGGCCUUUUGUCCCCGAACCGAGGCUCUGAGACUUUCAACCGAGUGGCGGAGCCACGCUGUCCCCCAGGAUAAGAACGGGGCAUCUGUGCGGGGCCUCUGGACACCAGGUCCCACCCUCCUGGGAGAGAGCGCGAGCAGCGUGCUUGGUGACGGGGGUCUUUGUCGGGUCGGUGAAGACCUCGCCAGGUUCGUUCCCAUUUUCAAGUAAGGUCACAUUCGCAAGUAGGGGGGACUCGGACAUAGCUUUCGGGCGCCAGGACCCCAUCCGCCAGCCUGGUCCUCGGGCUCUCAGUCUUGACCAUCAGUCCUUUGGUGGAUAUAGACGGGGCUGAAGCGACUCUUGGAUUCGCGCUGCCUGGGGACUCAGAGAUGAAAAGACCCCGUCCCGCCCUCAGAUGGCCUGCGGUCUUUCUGCCCGGUCUCCUCUCGUGAACCCGAGCGUCGCGGGAGGGGAUGUCCUGCGUGCACCGAGAGAGGAGGGAAAGCGUCCAGGUGCCCACAUCUGUGCCGGGUCCUCACAAUCAGAAACAAAUGCCAAGAGGACUUUGGGUUGAUGGACCCCUGUCAUCACGGCCUACCAUGUGUAUGGAUUUAGGGGCUUGGUGGACCCUGGUGAACCACGUCUGGUCAAGGAAGGUGCGUGUGAACAAAAUUCACUUGGAGAAGUUCCACGAGACGCCCUCGUGCCGUGUUCGGUGGGGGCCGGCCUCUGGGAGCGCCUUGCGCCCCGCACGGCUGGACUGAGGU